GCAUUUUGUGUGUCUGUCCACCCGUCUAAAAAACGGGUGUUAGCAAGGGCCGGGCAAGACCGGUGCCAGCCGCCGCGGUAAUACCGGCGGCUCGAGUGGUGGCCGAUAUUAUUGAGUCUAAAGGGUCCGUAGCCGGCUUUGCAAGUCUUUUGGGAAAUCCAGCGGCUUAACCGUUGGGCGUCUGAGAGGUACUACAUUGCUUGGGACUGGGAGAGGCGAGAGGUACUCAAGGGGUAGGAGUGAAAUCCUGUAAUCCUUUGGGGACCACCGGUGGCGAAGGCGUCUCGCCAGAACAGGUCCGACGGUGAGGGACGAAAGCUAGGGGCACGAACCGGAUUAGAUACCCGGGUAGUCCUAGCCGUAAACGAUGCUCGCUAGGUGUCACGGCAGUCGUGAACUGCCGUGGUGCCGUAGGGAAGCCGUGAAGCGAGCCACUUGGGAAGUACGACCGCAAGGUUGAAACUUAAAGGAAUUGGCGGGGGAGCACCACAACGGGUGGAGCCUGCGGUUUAAUUGGACUCAACGCCGGGAAGCUUACCGGGAUCGACAGUUGUAUGAAGGCCAGGCUGAAGACCUUGCCGGACUAUCUGAGAGGUGGUGCAUGGCC
rnacentral:rRNA from 1 species